GUGCAAUGAUGUGUGAAUUUCUUCACCUGAAAUCACUGUGAAGAGUGAAGUCGAGCUUUUUAACCCUGAGUCACA